rnacentral:rRNA from 1 species
CUUGGUGCGUUGAGCGGAGGGGUCACACCUGUUCCCAUUCCGAACACAGCCGUUAAGCCCUCCAGCGCCGAUGAUAUCCCUUUGGGAGAACGUAGGUCCGUGCCAGGC